UAAUGCAUAGCCACAUUAACUCUGGUUAAUUACACAAAUAUCUAUCUCAAUCGCAAACAGAUUAUCAAUUAAAUAAUGUAACACUGCACCAAAACUAGUAAAAUCAAUAACAAUUUACAAACAAUAUGAAAAAGGCAUUUGCUGAGAAGACUGGUCAACACAAAAAUACACAUUUCUCAGCUCCAGAGAUAGACUGCGUUUUGAGAAAUGCUUGAAAACACACUUUGAUUGGCUAUCCACUAGAGUGGGAUAAUAUUACAUAAUUACAUUAACAUAAAUAUGCAACUGCUUUGUACAAAUAUUUACCAAUUUGAACAGUUUCUUAAAAGUAAUACCAGACACUCAGAACUGAGCGUGCCUGCAAACAUUCUAAACAUGACGGGGUUUCACAGUUUGACUGUGAUUUUGCUUUUGAGUCCAGAUAUGCAAACCAGCAUGUACAUCAUGUCCUAAAUGCACUAGAUGACGAAAGCUAGAUGGUGUCAAAAAAAAAAAAACCCACCUGUCUUCUCACAUAUGCAGCAAUUUACGUGAAUCAAUAAUUUUUAUAGAAGAAUUUUACAGAGAAAUUCAUUUUGUGACAUAAUGUGAUAAAUUGGCCCUACCUCUAUUCAAGUGGUUAAACACUCCAAAAAUGUUAUAACAAAAGAAGAAAAAAAACAUUUAUAUUGUUUUCUCUGACUGAGAAAUGUGGUGGCUGAAGCCUAAGCUUAUUGUCCUUGUCCGUUUCUCUCUCGGUUGUCAUUACAAGCCUGUGGACAAUUUGUUUAAGUUGUCUGAUGCUGCUGGACUGGAUUUCCUCGUGGAGGACUUGGGUCAGAUGUGACAUUAAGCACGUUCCCGAGUGCCUUGCUUCAGUGCCUCGCUCCACUCCACUAACAGAAAGCAGCAGUGGCUAGCUUGAGUUGACAAAUGGUGUCUGUUAACAUAAACAAGCGGCUUCCAGCACAACACAGAAGAGCCCCUUUAAGGUUUUUGUAGGUUUUCCCUUGAUUUCAGAAAGAGCUGAGCUGGGUGGGGUAACACCGUUAAUACUGUGGGCCUGCAAUACCCAUUUGAUAAACUGUACAUAAUACUGGCCCGUAAAAAUAAACCUGUCUUGACAUUAUAAAAAGACAUAUAAUACAGAUAAUCUAGUUACAAUUAGAGUUAAAACAAAAUAGAUUUUAGCUGCUGUGGUGAAAAUGUAGUAUUGGUAUGGUAAUGAUACAGUCUGACAUUGUUAAUAUGCUUAAUCAAUAUAAGGUGUUCAUCUCUAGAGAGAAGAUAUCUAAAGAUCUUUAAUGUCCAAACUUACAGGCAGAUAUACUGGCAUGAGGGAGACUGUCUGUCUGUCCAUUUAAAUGAUCUGUUAAUCCAUGUAAUUGUCUGGCUCACCAGUACCAGCGCCAUGCUACACCAUUAUCCUUGCUUUUCAUUUUCUUCCCCGUGUGAAUCAUCCUCUACUUUUAUAAAAACAUUUUCGCGAAAAGACAUCGCCAACUUGCGAGUCGGUGCAACUGGUUUCUGCAUAGUUGCAUACCCAAAUCCUGUUACGUUAUGUUGUGCCUUUGACGCUUGUGUCUACUAUUGUGGCGCUGAUAGUCACAAAAUCUUACAAUAUUCCAAAUGUGUGUGUCCGUGUUUCACAGCCUGUGGUGUGGAGCAGCCCGGCUGGCUCUUAACGCCAUGCUAAGCUACCCCACCAUCACCAUGUUCAGCCAGAACAAAGAACAGUCAGAGAGCCACUCUCCAGGAACAUCCAACAACUUUGUUGGUCUGAGCAGCCCCUGCGAGCAAUUGAACAACCCAACUCUCGAUCCGAGCCCAGACCCCGCUGCUCUCAUUGGACUGGGACUGAGCGGCAGCCGGGCUCUCAUUGGCGGACUGGCUGAACAACAGGCAGCAGGAUGGACCGUCCGUCCGUCCACCCACCGAGGCCACAUGGAACAAUAACCGAGGCUAGACCGCGAACCGCCGGGCUAAAAAAGAGGACGGCUGACCCUGAGCGUCUGACCCCGGCGUCCCCGAAAGCCCCGCGUUCACCAUGUGUCAGCUCCUCUGUGCUAAUCUCGUAACAUGCAUGUGGGGAUGAGUAGCAUUAAAACGCUGGACCAGCUGAACGUGGAGGGGACUUGAUUCAAAACCAAGACAAGCCUCAAUCACUGCAAAUAAGUCUGAUUUACUGAAGAACACGAUUGAUGUCGAGUAGUGUUCCAGUGUAAGGCUUAAGUUAGUAAAAAAACAACAACAACAAAAAACAACUAAUUUUAGCAUUUAUUUAAAUGAUAAAAAAAACAACAACAUGUAUUUAUAAACUCUCAGACCCACUAUUCAUUCUUAUUGAGGAGAGAGACAAAUGAUCAGCCUGGCCAAAUAUCGGGGCCAAUAUUCAGCAUUUUUCUAAUUAUCUGUGUUGUCAUUAGUGUUGCUUUUUAAAAUCCUAUUGCUGAUAAAAUUUUGUAAAAAUGAGA